rnacentral:misc_RNA from 1 species
UUUUGUAUGCAUACUACGCUUGUUCACCUUUCUAUUUCAUGUUUUCUUUGUGGGUUUCGUUUUUCUUAAUUUGCUAUUUUUUCCUGGUGGGUUUAUUCUAUUGUUCUUCUCUUGAUCAGACAUUGUAAUGGAUAGUUGCUACCCGUUAAUCAUGAGAGUCGAUUUAUUGUAUUUUUAAUUUUAAUGGGUUUUUGUUAUUAGUGUCAAUGUUGGUCAAGAUGUGGAUAGAUUUUAUAAUUUUUUGUUAUUUUAACUAAUGGGAACUUGAAGUUUUUGAAGGGAUUUUAUGUUCUAUUUUUUGAGGUUUGGUGGUGUUUGGGUCCGAGCAAUGUAGAACAGUUGUUUCCUUGAACUCAUUCUUUUUAUUUAUUUGGCAAGUUUUGGGAUUUUUGAAUCUUGUUAGGCCAUAAAAUCAGAAGCUGCGGGCUUCUGAUAGGUCUCUGAAUCAUCUGUAAAUUUAGGG